UCUGUGAUUCUCUGUGUAAGC
rnacentral:siRNA from 1 species